UUUCUCCUCUCUUUCUUUCCUUUAGUGUAGUAUGAGUUCAGUACUUCUCCAACAAGUGCAAGACUUUAAUUUUUUAUUUUUUUUUUUCCCUUUCUGAAAAUUCUGGCCACUCCAGUCAGUCAUCGGAGAGUAUCAAGGCAGCUGGUUCCAAAUUUAUUGCUUGGAUACCACUAAGGCCACCUUUGCACCAGUGUUGCAGUAGCAGUAUCAGUUUAAUUAGAAGCUUUCUGUAUGACUCCCACAAACCCAACUGAUUACUGACAUGGGGAAAAUACUGGAGCAAGAAAGUUAUAUGAGGAUAGAAGUGAGGGAGACUUUUAAGGCUAGAGCUUCAUAAAGGAGUAUUUGCAGAGACAUCUAAAGAUGCCAGUCCUAUUGAGCAAAACUGACUUAUAAGUAGGC
rnacentral:lncRNA from 1 species